rnacentral:rRNA from 1 species
GAGGCAUUCUGGGGAGUCUAUCAGUCCUCAACCUAUUCUCAAACUGUGAAUGGGCAAGCAUCGGAGGCACACUUCUCUGCAUCC